rnacentral:misc_RNA from 1 species
GACACAAGCAGGAGUCUCCAGGUCCAAGGCCGUUAAGGCUUUGAAGGCAGCCGAUGGAGACAUAGUUUCUGCUAUUAUGGAGCUUACCAACUGAUAGGAGCCUUACUUAAAUUGUUAUGUGAUUAAGUGGCAUUUUUAUUAUGGUUCACCAUAUUUGUGUGAUUUGAAGUCGGGAUUUUUUUCUUUUUGCCCCCCAAAAUUUGUUAUUUUCAUAUGGAUUUACCUCGGUUCUGUUGUAUUACUAAACGAAUAUGAAAUGCAUCUUUUGGUGAUUAAUUGGAGUUUUCAUUUCUUUAGUCAAAA